AGAUGCUGCAUCGAUAGCAGUUAGACCAUGACGCGUAGGAGAAGGCCGCAAUGGAAGGGUCUGUGAGUGUCAUUUUUUAAACAUUUUCAAGCCAUAGUUACUUUGAAUUCUGGAAUCAGACUCCUCAGAUAGGACAGGCUAUCAGCACCGCAGCAAGACAAGCUGAUUUCUCGAGGCACUGAAGGCCAGGGGAAAUUCUGGCCAUGAAGUAGUAAAAUGACUAACGUGUCACUAUUCUGUAAGGAAACCAAUCACAGAACCCCCAAACCAACUAAGAAAUGAAAACCAGCCUAUUGGCAAACUGCCUCCAAUGAGAAGUCCACCGGAAAAUGUCCAUUCAUCCUAUACAAAGGCACUCAUUUGUUUGAUAACUCACCAUGCUCCUUGGGAAUAAAGAGGCACAGUCUAUGAUACCCGGGUUGUAUGAGGAAAAUCUCAAAGGCAUGAUGCUGAGCAGAAGAACCCAGUCUCGAAAAGCUAAAUGAUGCACAGUUCCACUUCCAUGAUCGUCUUAAAAAGACAAAAAUCACAAAACUCAGAAACUACAGUGAUGGGAAGGUAAGCAGUGGUUGCCAAGACAUGGGUAACAAGAACAGAAGUGGGCUGACUCCAGAGGGAUUGUGUGAAGUGGGGGCAGCUGAGGGAACUGGGAACUGCGACUUACUUCGUUUUUACCGUACAAGGAUUAAAACUGGCAAUACUAUAAAGCCCAGAGUUUUUAUUUGUUCAUCUUCCAAAUUAUAUUUAAAGGCUUGUGUGCAUGAGAGAAAGAUGUGAGAGAGAGAGAGAGAGAAAAGGAGAGAGAGAGAGAAGAGAAGAGAAGAGAAGAGAAGAGAAGAGAAGAGAAGAGAAGAGAAGAGAGAAGAGAAGAGAAGAGACACAGAUGGACAGACACAGACAGACAGACAGACAUAGACAACUGAGAAGAUUCUCAAGGUGCCUAGCCUCCCAAACAGCACAACACAGAAACCUGCAGAGAGUUACCUGGUGCUUUCAAAGCAGCAUGCUCCAUUGGCACAACAGUUUGUUGCUUCUGCCCAGUAUGGUGGAAGAGGAAUGUAAGGAGCCACACAUCACUAUAUCCAGAAGAUGAUCAAAAUUCACAUUAUAGUUUCCACUGAACAUAUAUUGUCACAGUGUGUCGUAGAGUCAAAAAAAAAAAAACUCAAAGUAAAAUCGCCACAAUGUUGGGGGUGGUCUGCACAGUCUUAGGUAGCUAGAGCCAGGCCCCUGGUCCUCUCUGGAGGGAAUUUGUUUGUUUUCGUAUGCUCAUGCAGUAAAAUUCUAACUUUCAGGGGGACCUAAGCUAAACUAAGAGGUUCUGAUCACAGGGACCUAAACUAAUGAGGAGAAACUGUGCCGAGAAGCACUAUAAAAUGUCAACACAGUAAAAUCCAACAUUAUCUGACCCUGUGGCCAGCCCCAGAGAGAAGCCAAGAAUCCACAACCCUUCCCAGGUUUGAAACGCUCUUCUGAUAGUUGGUUAACCCCCUGUAUUAUUGCUUAGCAUUGCUGUGAUCUGAGUGUGGUCACACUGGCUCCCAGGAGUCCUUGUGAUAGAUACCUGGUCCUCAGAGAUCUAUGGGACUUUGAAGGGGCUGUUUUGUUUUGUUUUGUUUUGUUGAGACACUGCAUUGCCAAAUUGCUCAGGUUGGCCUCAAACUUUCAGCCAUCCUGCCUCAGCCGCCUAUGUGUUAUGACUGUUGACUCAUGCCACUGACCUGGCUUUAUGGUAGUUUCUUGACGAAAGGUAAGGCCUAUUCAGUUUGAAGGAUCAGAGUCAAGACGUCAUAGUGAUGAAAGUCUAGCCACAUCUGCAGCUCAUCUUUGACUACUAGGCAAAGGGGGGAACUCAACAAGUCGAGGCUAAAGCAGCAGUCAUAGGAAGCCACACAGACAGAUGUCAGCAGCUGCAUAGCACUGAGGAGCCAAAGCUUCCCGUGUAAGUUAAAUGUCUCCUGGAGCAAAUCCAAAGGUCUCCAAGCAACACAAAGACGACUCACACAAUAUAUCUUCUUUUCUAAUAUUAA
rnacentral:lncRNA from 1 species